rnacentral:lncRNA from 1 species
AGCUGGAAAUUAGAGAGCACUACCAUGUUUGCAAAUAUAUUCUGAUAUGGAAAAGGCACAAGAUUCUACAUAAUCCAAAAACAGAAAGUCUUGCAUCCAUUUUCUGGAUAGUUCAGCUGAAUACAGAUUUGCUUUUAUUUUUGAGAAACCUAGCCCAAUUCAUGCUGGAAUGGAGGAAAUUGUUCACCUUCUCUUGACCAACAGUUGGACUGAUGACUACUGUCAGACAAUGCUCAUGA